rnacentral:rRNA from 1 species
UUCCUACGGGGGGCAGCAGUGGGGAAUAUUGCACAAUGGGGGAAACCCUGGUGCAGCGACGCCGCGUGGGUGAAGAAGUACUUCGGUACGUAAAGCCCUAUCAGCAGGGAAGAAAAUGACGGUACCUGAUUAAGAAGCCCCGGCUAACUACGUGCCAGCAGCCGCGGUAAUACGUAGGGGGCAAGCGUUAUCCGGAUUUACUGGGUGUAAAGGGAGCGUAGACGGCAUUGCAAGUCCGGAGUGAAAGCCCGGGGCCCAACCCCGGGACUGCUCUUGGAACUGCGUGGCUGGAGUGCAGGAGGGGG